UACGGAGGGGGUUAGCGUUGUUCGGAAUGACUGGGCGUAAAGCGCGCGUAGGCGGAUCAGGAAGUUGGGGGUGAAAUCCCGGGGCUCAACCCCGGAAUGGCCUCCAAAACUCCUGGUCUUGAGUUCGAGAGAGGUGAGUGGAAUUCCGAGUGUAGAGGUGAAAUUCGUAGAUAUUCGGAGGAACACCAGUGGCGAAGGCGGCUCACUGGCUCGACACUGACGCUGAGGUGCGAAAGCGUGGGGAGCAAACAGG
rnacentral:rRNA from 1 species